GCUCAGGGGACACGGGGUAAUGUGUGCACACAUGCAGCCGUGCCUCUGCCAUAAUGCAAGGUGAUUAAUUCAGUGCAUCUCCACCUUUUGCGCUGCACAUGCAUCAGGUAACAUCAGCUUUUGGAGCAUCAAAUGUUGUGUUCUCUGUUUAUUCUAAACACACUGAGGUCCCAAAGCAGAUCCCAUACUGAGCCGGAUGAUGAUAUUUCUUUUUUUGGAUUCUUGUAAGCAAAAUGCUUUGUUAAAGAAAAAUGUAAAGAAGUUUUUUUUAAAAAGGUUUUAAAUUCAUGUAACUGUGUAAAAUAGAAAAUAAUAUUUACAUAGCACCUUCAGUACAGUACUUUCUGGUGCGCCAUCAUAGGAAAGAUUUAAUAGAUUUUUUUAUUAUUCAAAUAACUUGCUAUCCAUAUUUCAAAAACAGAAAUUAAAUUACUUGACUUUAAAGGUACAUGAAGACACAUCAUGAUGAACAUAACUACUAUUCAUAAAUCAUUGCAAUAUAUACAGAUCCUAAAUCAUCGAACUUCUUAUAUAUAAAUUACUAAGCAGAAACAUAAAAUGAAAGAAGACAAUGCAAAACCUAAACAGAUACAACAUAAUUUGAAAUUAUUUACCCCUGUAGUCAUCAAAUAUGCUGCCUUUCAUCGAUUUUUGUUUUUUGAAAACUUGUAAUAAACUUCAAGACCAAACUUAAGUCCAUGCUUUUCCAUGCAACCGCAGAGGGAAGCAAUAGGUCUGUUGAUGCUGACUUAAUCUCCUAAGAGAUUGUCAAUAUACAAAAAGUCUUCUACGUGACCACCUUGCAAGGAAGAAGCCAUUAUCCUAAAAUAGUCAGAUUAUAAUUUUGAAAACAAAGACUACUCCACUUCGAAGUCUAGAGUUAAUCUAACAAAAUAGAAAACCAGAAUGCCACUGAAAGGUUCAAAAUAAUCCAAAGACCAUGGCUGGAAGAGCAUUAAAUUACAACUAAAAAUUAUUGAAGAUUUCAAGCAUUCAAAAAUGGUUUAUGGCCUCAUUGUAAAGGCAAUCUUCUCAAAAUAUUAGCUGGGCUUGUUUGUAGCUUUAAUCAGAUCCGGGGUGGAAUUACAUGUUCAGAGCUUCACUUUUAGGAUCUUGCUGCCUGAGGCACCAUCUGAAGUGGGCAGCGAAGCGGGAGCUGCUGUGAGCAGCUGUGAUUAGGGCCGCCAUGACCCGUUGAAUACCCUGUAAUUACAGCUGUAACUGAUGCUGAGCUGAUCACAAACCUUUUUGCUUCUUUUUCUUCUUUUUAAGCCUUUUUUUGUACUUCCUUGAAACGUUCUCCCAUUUUGUCAUGUUACAGCCACAAACACCAAAGUGUUUUACCGAGUUCUUAUGUUAUAAACUGUCACGGAGUGGUGGGUAGUUGUAAAGCUGAAGGAAAUCGGUUUAUGUUUGUCAAAAUUUGUGACUUUAUAGAGUCGCAUGUGCCUAAAACCUGGGGGAUUGUAUCUCUACCUGUCCAACAGAUCUUUGCUAAUUACCUGAAGUUCAAUCACACUGGAUGGUGGCAGCACACACCUCACAGUGAGAAAGUAUUCCAGCCAAACAAAGUCCUGGAAGAAGAAAGUUCGGAAAAUGACCCGGGAUCCAAGGUGAUACACUCGGGCUUGUGGUGACCCUUGAGAUGACACAUCUGAACGAGACGGCGGUACAGCAGGGAAGAUUCUGUUCUACGUCAGUGGCUAUCGACUUCAAAAAGGAAACAUGAAGAUGGUGCUCUUCUCAACUUUCUGUCCUGUCUCCAGCAGAAAGUUGAAUCAGGACACUGUGAGGUACACUCAUGUGACGUGGAUAAAGGGUGAAAGCCAGAGUACCCAGAGAGAGGCCAUGCAUUCACAAGGAGAAUGUGCAAAUUUCUUACAGACAGAAUGUCCCUCCUGCAACUUGAACUGACUGCCCUCCUUCUCUACGGCAACAGGGCUUAAAAACUGCUGCACUGUGCAGCCAAAUAAACAGGAUUAUGUUUCUGGACACCCUCAUCAACCCAAAAGAGUAAAGAAAUAAUACAAAAAAUAAACUUUGUUACCUUUAUUUUAUAGAAAUGUCUGAGCAAUUAUGGCACCAGUUUUGUAAAGCUAUUUCAUAAUGUGAGACUGUUUCCCAAAAAUGAAUUUACCUUUUAUUCAUUUUUUACAACAUCACAUUCAACUUCCUCCAUGCGCUGGAGGGCGUUGAAAAGAAAACAGAUUAAAAUGGCCAUACCUACUCUGUGUGUUCCUC